rnacentral:tRNA from 1 species
GAGGGUAUGGCUCAGUGGUAGAGCACCCCUGGGUUCAAUCCCCAGUAACCCCC